rnacentral:rRNA from 1 species
UCCUCCCUCUGGCGGCGUGCUUAACACAUGCAAGUCGAACGGAAAGGCCCUGCUUUUGUGGGGUGCUCGAGUGGCGAACGGGUGAGUAACACGUGAGUAACCUGCCCUUGACUUUGGGAUAACUUCAGGAAACUGGGGCUAAUACCGGAUAGGAGCUCCUGCUGCAUGGUGGGGGUUGGAAAGUUUCGGCGGUUGGGGAUGGACUCGCGGCUUAUCAGCUUGUUGGUGGGGUAGUGGCUUACCAAGGCUUUGACGGGUAGCCGGCCUGAGAGGGUGACCGGCCACAUUGGGACUGAGAUACGGCCCAGACUCCUACGGGAGGCAGCAGUGGGGAAUAUUGCACAAUGGGCGGAAGCCUGAUGCAGCAACGCCGCGUGCGGGAUGACGGCCUUCGGGUUGUAUACCGCUUUCGCCUGUGACGAAGCGUGAGUGACGGUAAUGGGUAAAGAAGCACCGGCUAACUACGUG